UUGAUGUUCUAACGUGGAUCCGUAAUCCGGGUUGCGGACAGUGUCUGGUGGGUAGUUUGACUGGGGCGGUCUCCUCCUAAAGAGUAACGGAGGAGCACGAAGGUUGGCUAAUCCUGGUCGGACAUCAGGAGGUUAGUGCAAUGGCAUAAGCCAGCUUGACUGCGAGCGUGACGGCGCGAGCAGGUGCGAAAGCAGGUCAUAGUGAUCCGGUGGUUCUGAAUGGAAGGGCCAUCGCUCAACGGAUAAAAGGUACUCCGGGGAUAACAGGCUGAUACCGCCCAAGAGUUCAUAUCGACGGCGGUGUUUGGCACCUCGAUGUCGGCUCAUCACAUCCUGGGGCUGAAGUAGGUCCCAAGGGUAUGGCUGUUCGCCAUUUAAAGUGGUACGCGAGCUGGGUUUAGAACGUCGUGAGACAGUUCGGUCCCUAUCUGCCGUGGGCGCUGGAGAACUGAGGGGGGCUGCUCCUAGUACGAGAGGACCGGAGUGGACGCAUCACUGGUGUUCGGGUUGUCAUGCCAAUGGCACUGCCCGGUAGCUAAAUGCGGAAGAGAUAAGUGCUGAAAGCAUCUAAGCACGAAACUUGCCCCGAG
rnacentral:rRNA from 1 species